rnacentral:lncRNA from 1 species
UCCAAGAUAACCCCAAUGCCAGUGACAUCCUUCCCAUCAGUCACCACUCCAGCACCAGAAACCUAUGAAGGCUGCAACAGCUGUGUUUCCUGUUUUAAUAAAGCACUGUUAAUAAUAGCUGCUUUUGCAUAGAAUGUAAAGAAGAUGAGAGCUACUGUUCACAUAAUUCAACAGUUAUAGACUGUCGUGUGGUGAACAGGACAGACUUCUGUUCUAAAACCACAAGUCUGCCUUUCUCUUCUACAACUUCCACCACAGUUACUACAUCAGGUACAAUAAAUACCACUGUCCUUGUCUUUGGUGUACAGGCUAUAAUUUUCUUUCUUUAUAAAUUCUACACAUCUAAGAAACAAACUUAUACUCUG